CCUACGGGAGGCAGCAGUGAGGAAUAUUGGUCAAUGGACGAGAGUCUGAACCAGCCAAGUAGCGUGAAGGAUGACUGCCCUAUGGGUUGUAAACUUCUUUUAUAUGGGAAUAAAAUGUUCCACGUGUGGGAUUUUGUAUGUACCAUAUGAAUAAAGAUCGGCUAACUCCGUGCCAGCAGCCGCGGUAAUACGGAGGAUCCGAGCGUUAUCCGGAUUUAUUGGGUUUAACGGGAGCGUAGGUGGAUUGUUAAGUCAGUUGUGAAAGUUUUCGGCUCAACCGUAAAAGUGCAGUUGAAACUGGCAGUCUUGAGUACAGUAGAGGUGGGCGGAAUUCGUGGUGUAGCGGUGAAAUGCUUAGAUAUCACGAAGAACUCCGAUUGCGAAGGCAGUUCACUGGACUGCAACUGACACUGAGGCUCGAAAGUGUGGGUAUCAAACAGGAUUAGAUACCCCUGUAGUC
rnacentral:rRNA from 1 species